rnacentral:rRNA from 1 species
AGUGAACGCUGGCGGUAGGCCUAACACAUGCAAGUCGAACGGCAGCACAGUAAGAGCUUGCUCUUACGGGUGGCGAGUGGCGGACGGGUGAGGAAUACAUCGGAAUCUACUUUUUCGUGGGGGAUAACGUAGGGAAACUUACGCUAAUACCGCAUACGACCUACGGGUGAAAGCAGGGGAUCUUCGGACCUUGCGCGAUUGAAUGAGCCGAUGUCGGAUUAGCUAGUUGGCGGGGUAAAGGCCCACCAAGGCGACGAUCCGUAGCUGGUCUGAGAGGAUGAUCAGCCACACUGGAACUGAGACACGGUCCAGACUCCUACGGGAGGCAGCAGGGGGGAAUAUUGGACAAUGGGGGCAAGCCUGAUCCAGCCAUACCGGGGGGGUGAAGAAGGCCUUCGGGUUGUAAAGCCCUUUUGUUGGGAAAAAAAAGCAGCAGGUUAAUACCCCGCUGUUCUGACGGUACCCAAAGAAUAAGCACCGGCUAAUUUCGU